rnacentral:rRNA from 1 species
AUACCACUUGUUGCCUCGGCGGAUCAGCCCGCUCCCGGUAAAACGGGACGGCCCGCCAGAGGACCCCUAAACUCUGUUUCUAUAUGUAACUUCUGAGUAAAACCAUAAAUAAAUCAAAACUUUCAACAACGGAUCUCUUGGUUCUGGCAUCGAUGAAGAACGCAGCAAAAUGCGAUAAGUAAUGUGAAUUGCAGAAUUCAGUGAAUCAUCGAAUCUUUGAACGCACAUUGCGCCCGCCAGUAUUCUGGCGGGCAUGCCUGUUCGAGCGUCAUUUCAACCCUCAAGCACAGCUUGGUGUUGGGACUCGCGUUAAUUCGCGUUCCCCAAAUUGAUUGGCGGUCACGUCGAGCUUCCAUAGCGUAGUAGUAAAACCCUCGUUACUGGUAAUCGUCGCGGCCACGCCGUUAAACCCCAACUUCUGAAUGUUGACCUCGGAUCAGGUAGGAAUACCCGCUGAACUUAAGCAUAUCAAUAAG